UACGAAGGGUGCAACCGUUGCUCGGAAUUAUUGGGCGUAAAGCGCCCGUAGGCGGCUCUGUAUGUUGGAUGUGAAAACCCUCGGCUCAACCAAGGAAGUGCAUCCAAAACUGCGGAGCUUGAGUACUUAAGAGGAUCGCGGAAUUCCCGGUGUAGAGGUGAAAUUCGUAGAUAUCGGGAGGAACACCAGUGGCGAAGGCGGCUCACUGGUCCGGUACUGACGCUGAGGUGCGAAAGCGUGGGGAGCAAACAGG
rnacentral:rRNA from 1 species